GACGAACGCUGGCGGCGUGCUUAACACAUGCAAGUCGAGCGGUAAGGCCCUUUCGGGGGUACACGAGCGGCGAACGGGUGAGUAACACGUGGGUGACCUGCCCUUAGCUCUGGGAUAAGCCUGGGAAACUGGGUCUAAUACCGGAUAUGACUCCAUGACGCAUGUUGUGGGGUGGAAAGCCUUGUGCGGCUAGGGAUGGGCCCGCGGCCUAUCAGCUUGUUGGUGGGGUCGANGGCCUACCAAGGCGACGACGGGUAGCCGGCCUGAGAGGGCGACCGGCCACACUGGGACUGAGACACGGCCCAGACUCCUACGGGAGGCAGCAGUGGGGAAUCUUGCGCAAUGGGCGAAAGCCUGACGCAGCGACGCCGCGUGGGGAUGAC
rnacentral:rRNA from 1 species